GAUGAACGCUAGCGGCAGGCUUAAUACAUGCAAGUCGAACGGGAUUGAGAAGCUUGCUUUUCAUGAGAGUGGCGCACGGGUGCGUAACACGUAUGCAACCUACCUUGUCCAGGGGGAUAGCCCGUUGAAAGACGGAUUAAGACCGCAUAACAUUGAGCUGUGGCAUCACAAAUCAAUCAAAUAUUUAUAGGGACAAGAUGGGCAUGCGCCUGAUUAGGUAGUUGGCGGGGUAAUGGCCCACCAAGCCGACGAUCAGUAGGGGAUCUGAGAGGAUGACCCCCCACACUGGUACUGGGACACGGACCAGACUCCUACGGGAGGCAGCAGUAAGGAAUAUUGGUCAAUGGGCGAAAGCCUGAACCAGCCAUGCCGCGUGCAGGAAGACGGCCCUACGGGUUGUAAACUGCUUUUAUACGGGAAUAACCCCGGUUUCGUGAAACCGGCUGAAUGUACCGUAAGAAUAAGGAUCGGCUAACUCCGUGCCAGCAGCCGCGGUAA
rnacentral:rRNA from 1 species